UUAAGCUACAAAGAGCGUAGGGAGAAUGCCUAGGUACCAAGAGCCGAUGAAGGACGUGAUAAGCUGCGAAAAGCUACGGGGAGGAGCAAAUAUCCAUCAAUCCGUAGAUGUCCGAAUGAGGGAACUCAUAUGGCAAAAAGAAGCCAUAUAUCUAUGUACAAGUAAAGUAGUACAUAAGAAGGGAACGUGGGGAACUGAAACAUCUAAGUACCCAUAGGAAGAGAAAAUAAACAAUGAUUUCUGUAGUAGUGGCGAGCGAACCAGAAAGAGCCCAAACCAUAAGUAGAAAUACAUAUGGGGUACGGACUACCAUAAACUACUAACAAGUCUAAUAGAAUCAUCUGGGAAGGUGAACCAAAGACGGUGAAAGUCCAGUAUAUGAAAGAUAAGUUAGGGUAGGUAGAAUCCAGAGUAGUGCGAGACACAGGGAAUCUUGUAUGAAAGAGCGGGGACCAUCCCGUAAGGCUAAAUACUACUUGGUAACCGAUAGUGAACGAGUACCGUGAGGGAAAGGUGAAAAGGACCCCGGGAGGGGAGUGAAAGAGAACCUGAAACCCUAUGUUUACAAGCAGAUAGAGCGAUUUAAGGCGCGAUAUCGUACUUUUUGUAGAACGGUCCAGCGAGUUAUUGUAUGUGGCGAGGUUAAAUUCUAAGAAGGAAUGGAGCCGAAGAGAAAUCGAGUCUGAAAAGGGCGAAUAAGUCAUAUAUAAUAGACCCGAAACCGGGUGACCUAUCCAUGGUCAGGAUGAAGCUAAAGUAAAAUUUAGUGGAGGUCCGAACUGAUUGUCGUUAAAAAGGCACCGGAUGAACUGUGGAUAGCGGAGAAAUUCCAAUCGAACUCGGAGAUAGCUGGUUCUCCUCGAAAUAGCUUUAGGGCUAGCCUUGAGGUAAAACAUGUGGGGGUAGAGCACUGAAUGAUUUAGGGGCCAAACCAGGUUACCGACAUCUAUCAAACUGCGAAUACCAUGUGGAAGUACUCAGGAGUCAGACUGCGGGAGCUAAGUUCCGUGGUCAAAAGGGAAAGAGCCCAGACCGACAAUUAAGGUCCCAAAGAGAUAGUUAAGUGGAAAACGAUGUGAAAAUGCAAAGACAACCAGGAUGUUGGCUUAGAAGCAGCCAUACAUUAAAAGAGUGCGUAACAGCUCACUGGUCGAGUGAAUUUGCGCGGAAAAUUACCGGGGCUAAACUAUCCACCGAAAUUACGGAUUGCAGUACAUUUAACAAUGUAUGCGGAAAGAGAAAAGAAGAAAGAAGUAUAUAUUGUUAAGUGUACUGUAGUGGUAGAGGAGCAUUCUGUAGUAGGAAGAAGCUAAAGCGAGAGCAUUAGUGGACGAGACAGAAGAGAGAAUGCUGGAAUAAGUAGCGAGAGCAAGGUGAGAAUCCUUGCCGUCGAAAGUCUAAGGUUUCCUGGGGAAGGUUCGUCCGCCCAGGGUAAGUCGGGACCUAAGGAGAGGCCGAGAAGGCGUAUCUGAUGGACAGCAGGUUGAAAUUCCUGCACUACCGAUACUUUAAAAAACGUCAAGGGACGCAGGAGAGGAAGGAAAGCGAGGAAGAGGAAAGACUCGUAUCGAAAGAUAUAGUGAAAAAAUGAAGUAACGAAUUUCCAAGAAUCACACUGACGAGAAAAGCUUGAUGACAUUAAGUAAAGGUACCCGUACCGCAAACCGACACAGGUAGAUGAGGAGAGGAUCCUAAGACGAACGGGAGAAGCAUUGUUAAGGAACUCGGCAAAAUGACCCCGUAACUUCGGGAGAAGGGGAACCUAGGUAAAACUAGGUCGCAGAGAAAAGGCCCAAGCAACUGUUUAACAAAAACACAGGUUUCUGCUAAAUCGAAAGAUGAAGUAUAGGAGCUGACGCCUGCCCAGUGCUGGAAGGUCAAGGGGAGAUGUUAGAAGAAAUUCGAAGCAUAGAACCAAAGCCCCAGUGAACGGCGGCCGUAACUAUAACGGUCCUAAGGUAGCGAAAUUCCUUGUCAGGUAAGUUCUGACCCGCACGAAAGGCGUAAUGAUUUGGGCACUGUCUCGACAAUGUACCCGGCGAAAUUGUAGUACUAGUGAAGAUGCUAGUUACCUGCGACAAGACAGAAAGACCCCAUGGAGCUUUACUGUAGUUUGAUAUUGGGUUUUGGUAAUUUAUGUACAGGAUAGGUGGGAGACAGAGAAGGAUGUGCGUCAGCAUAUCUGGAGUCAACGUUGGGAUACCACUCUUAAGUUAUUGAAAUUCUAACUUGUGAUCAUAAACUGGUCAGAGGACAAUGUCAGACGGGCAGUUUGACUGGGGCGGUCGCCUCCAAAAGAGUAACGGAGGCGCCCAAAGGUUCCCUCAGUGCGGACAGAAAUCGCACAAAAGAGUGUAAAGGCAGAAGGGAGCUUAACUGGAAGAUAGACAUAUCGAGCAGAUACGAAAGUAGGGCUUAGUGAUCCGGUGGAAUUGAAUGGAAAAGCCAUCGCUCAACGGACAAAAGUUACCCUGGGGAUAACAGGCUUAUCUCCCCCAAGAGUUCACAUCGACGGGGAGGUUUGGCACCUCGAUGUCGGCUCAUCGCAUCCUGGAGCGGAAGUACGUUCCAAGGGUUGGGCUGUUCGCCCAUUAAAGCGGUACGCGAGCUGGGUUCAGAACGUCGUGAGACAGUUCGGUCCUUAUCUGUCGCAGGCGGAAGAUAUUUGAAGGGAGCUGUCCUUAGUACGAGAGGACCAGGAUGGACAUACCGAUGGUUUAUCAGUUGUCACACCAGUGGCAUGGCUGAGUAGCCAAGUAUGGAAGGGAUAAACGCUGAAAGCAUCUAAGUGUGAAGCCCACCCUAAGAUAAGAUAUCUCAUACCGUAAGGUAGUAAGAUUCCAUAAAGACUAUGUGGUUGAUAGGUUGGAGGUGUAAGUACAGUAAUGUAUUGAGCUGACCAAUACUAAUAAAUCGAGGGCUUAACCAC
rnacentral:rRNA from 1 species